UGAGGAAUAUUGCUCAAUGGGCGAAAGCCUGAAGCAGCAACGCCGCGUGCGCGAUGAAGGCCUUCGGGUCGUAAAGCGCUUUGAGAGGGACGAGAUAGGACGGUACCUCUGGAAUAAGUCACGGCUAACUACGUGCCAGCAGCCGCGGUAAAACGUAGGUGGCAAGCGUUAUCCGGAUUCACUGGGCGUAAAGCGUGCCGCAGGCGGUUCGCUAAGUCUGAUGUGAAAGCCCCGGGCUCAACCUGGGAAUGGCAUUGGAAACUGGCGGGCUUGAGUGUGGCAGAGGGGGGUGGAAUUCCACGUGUAGCAGUGAAAUGCGUAGAGAUGUGGAGGAACACCGAUGGCGAAGGCAGCCCCCUGGGCUAACACUGACGCUCAGGCACGAAAGCGUGGGGAGCAAACAGGAUUAGAUACCCUGGUAGUCCACGCCCUAAACUAUGUCAACUGGGUGUUGGGGAAGCGAUUCCUCAGUACCGUAGCUAACGCGUGAAGUUGACCGCCUGGGGAGUACGGCCGCAAGGUUA
rnacentral:rRNA from 1 species